rnacentral:rRNA from 1 species
GAUGAACGCUGGCGGCGUGCCUAAUACAUGCAAGUCGAGCGAAUGGAUUAAGAGCUUGCUCUUAUGAAGUUAGCGGCGGACGGGUGAGUAACACGUGGGUAACCUGCCCAUAAGACUGGGAUAACUCCGGGAAACCGGGGCUAAUACCGGAUAACAUUUUGAACCGCAUGGUUCGAAAUUGGAAGGCGGCUUCGGCUGUCACUUAUGGAUGGACCCGCGUCGCAUUAGCUCGUUGGUGAGGUAACGGCGCACCACGGAAACGAUGCGUAGCCGAGCUGAGAGGGUGAACGGCCACACUGGGACUGAGACACGGCCCAGACUCCUACGGGAGGCAGCAGUAGGGAAUCUUCCGCAAUGGACGAAAGUCUGACGGAGCAACGCCGCGUGAGUGAUGAAGGCUUUCGGGUCGUAAAACUCUGUUGUUAGGGAAGAACAAGUGCUAGUUGAAUAAGCUGGCACCUUGACGGUACCUAACCAGAAAGCCACGGCUAACUACGUGCCAGCCGCCGCGGUAA